AUUGAACGCUGGCGGCAGGCCUAACACAUGCAAGUCGAACGAGUGGCGGACGGGUGAGUAAUGUCUGGGAAACUGCGUGAUGGAGGGGUAUAACUACGGGAAACGGUAGCUAAUACCGCAUACCAUCAGAUGUGCCCAGAUGGGAUGAGCUAGUAGGUGGGGUAAUGGCUCACCUAGGCGACGAUCCCUAGCUGGUCUGAGAGGAUGACCAGCCACACUGGGACUGAGACACGGCCCAGACUCCUACGGGAGGCAGCAGUGGGGAAUAUUGCACAAUGGGCGCAAGCCUGAUGCAGCCAUGCCGCGUGUGUGAAGAAGGCCUUCGGGUUGUAAAGCACUGUCAGUGGGGAGGCGUUACUCGCAGAAGAAGCACCGGCUAACUCCGUGCCAGCAGCCGCGGUAAUAC
rnacentral:rRNA from 1 species